rnacentral:rRNA from 1 species
GAUGAACGCUGGUGGCGUGCCUAAUACAUGCAAGUCGAGCGAACGGACGAGAAGCUUGCUUCUCUGAUGUUAGCGGCGGACGGGUGAGUAACACGUGGAUAACCUACCUAUAAGACUGGGAUAACUUCGGGAAACCGGAUCUAAUACCGGAUGAUAUUUUGAACCGCAUGGUUCAAAAGUGAAAGACGGUCUUGCUGUCACUUAUAGAUGGAUCCGCGCUGCAUUAGCUAGUUGGUAAGGUAACGGCUUACCAAGGCAACGAUGCAUAGCCGACCUGAGAGGGUGAUCGGCCACACUGGAACUGAGACACGGUCCAGACUCCUACGGGAGGCAGCAGUAGGGAAUCUUCCGCAAUGGGCGAAAGCCUGACGGAGCAACGCCGCGUGAGUGAUGAAGGUCUUCGGAUCGUAAAACUCUGUUAUUAGGGAAGAACAUAUGUGUAAGUAACUGCGCACAUCUUGACGGUACCUAAUCAGAGAGCCACGGCUAACUACGUG